rnacentral:rRNA from 1 species
UGAGGAAUUUUGCGCAAUGGGAGCAAUCCUGACGCAGCAACGCCGCGUGGGUGAAGAAGGCCUUCGGGUCGUAAAGCCCUGUCAGGUGGGAAGAAAGGUUCCGCCAAGAAACGGGUGGGAUUUGACGGUACCACCAGGGGAAGCACCGGCUAACUCCGUGCCAGCAGCCGCGGUAAUACGGAGGGUGCGAGCGUUAUUCGGAAUUACUGGGCGUAAAGCGCGUGCAGGCGGGGAGGGAAGGCUGAUGUGAAAGCCCUGGGCUUAACCGGGGAAGUGCAUUGGAAACUGUC